UUGCCCCCGCUUGUUUUCAUUUUUGUUAACGCUUCAAAUACCUCUCUUCGAUUUCAUUUCCAUUCGUUCACGCCCCACGCUCAAUUCCAUCCUCUCUUCAAUUCCAUCUCUCCCCACAUUCACUCUUUGAUUUUGUUCGUUCACGCUCAUUCAUUCUCAUCUCGUCUCAAACCUCUCUUCGAUUUCGUUCACGCCCAAGGGAAGAAAAAAUCCUCUCUUGCUGGUUGGUGUAUUAGAAACUGAUAUGGGUUGUUUCCAUCUUCAAACUUUAGGACAAAUAAUUGAUCUUCCUUCACUAACCUUCGGACACUAAAAACAAACAUUAUAGAGAGUGAUAGUGAGAGCAAUCCAAAUGGUGGAGAUAGAGGCUGAUCUAUGUCCCAUGAUUUUAUUCUCUGUCUCAGAUUAUGUUUGAGGGAAUUUUGGGGUGUUUUACCCAAAAGCGGUUGUGGGUUUUACAAUAUUAGUUGCUAGAGAAAGUGCUAGUGGUCAGCAGCAAAGGAUAAACUCUUGUUGUGGUUAUUAUGAACAAUAGUGGUGGUGGUGGUGAGGUGAGGAUGGAAGUAGGACUGUAGUUUUAGGUGAAAUGGCAAGUGGAAUGAUGGGGAUGAAUAAAUCACCUUUAACGAUGUUACAGUGAGGGGCUAGAACUUCAGGCUCUGAUCUUUAAAUUUAUGAUGGCAGAAGAUUCUCUAAAACGUGAGUCUAGGAGCAAGGUUCGCCAUGCUGACAUCCAAGCUUCCAAGGUUUGUGUUAUUUGCUUCUUAAGCUUUACUUUAAUAUGAAGUUCUUGCCAUUCCAUGUCAUUUUCACUUCUCCUGUUGGUUGUAGCCAACAUUAUUCAUACCCUCUUGGGCCCAAGACCUAUGUUGAAGAUGUUACUUGAUGCUCAAGGAGGUUUUUUCUUUUUUUUUUUACCCCUUUUCUUUUAAUUGUUGGAUGACAAUAUGAAUCUGUUUUUGUAUUUCCGUCGCAAGUGACAAUAUUUUGUCACUGUUUAAUUGUUUCAAGUAGAGUCCAAUGAUUUCCCAUCUUCUGAAACUUUCAAACGAAUAUGGUUAUGUUAAUUUUGUUUGCUCUACUCCGAGUUAGUUGCUGACUA